rnacentral:rRNA from 1 species
UGGGGAAUAUUGCGCAAUGGGGGAAACCCUGACGCAGCAACGCCGCGUGAGUGAUGAAGGCCUUUGGGUUGUAAAGCUCUUUCGGCUGGGAAGAAGGUGUUUGGUGUUAAUAGCAUCAGGCAUUGAUGGUACCAGAAUAAGAAGCACCGGCUAACUUCGUGCCAGCAGCCGCGGUAAUACGAAGGGUGCGAGCGUUGUUCGGAAUUAUUGGGCGUAAAGGGUUCGUAGGCGGGAGCUUAAGUCAAGUGUGAAAUCCUCAGGCUUAACCUGAGACGUGCACCUGAAACUGGGCUUCUUGAGUGUUGGAGAGGGUAGUGGAAUUGCUGGUGUAGGAGUGACAUCCGUAGAGAUCAGCAGGAACACCGGAGGCGAAGGCGACUGCCUGGCCGACAACUGACGC